rnacentral:rRNA from 1 species
GACGAACGCUUGCGGCGUGCCUAAGAAAUGCAAGUCGAGCGAGGUUUAGGCUUCGGCCGACGACCUAGCGGCGAACGGUCGCGUAACACGUAAGCAACCUGCCCUAAAGUUGGGGAUAGCCCGCCGAAAGGCGGAUUAAUACCGAAUGUGGAUAUGAUUUCGCAUGUGAUUAUAUCUGAAGCAGCGAUGCGCUUUAGGAUGGGCUUGCGGCCUAUCAGUUAGUUGGUGUGGGGUAACGGCCUACCAAGACGACGACGGGUAGCUGGGUCUGAGAGGAUGGUCAGCCGGAUUGGGACUGAGACACGGCCCAGACUCCUACGGGGGGCAGGCAAUUAGGAAUCUUGCGCAAUGGGCGAAAGCCUGACGCAGCGACGCCGCGUGACUGAUGAAGUCUUUCGAGAUGUAAAGUCUUUUGGUGGGACGAAGGAGUGACGGUACCCGAGAAUAAGCCCCGGCUAACUACGUGCCAGCAGCCGCGGUAAAAUCGACGUGGUA